rnacentral:rRNA from 1 species
UGUGGCCUACGGGAGGCAGCAGUGAGGAAUAUUGGUCAAUGGCCGCAGGGCUGAACCAGCCAAGUCGCGUGAGGGAUGACGGUCCUAUGGAUUGUAAACCUCUUUUGUCAGGGAGCAAAGGGCGCCACGUGUGGCGCUUUGCGAGUACCUGAAGAAAAAGCAUCGGCUAACUCCGUGCCAGCAGCCGCGGUAAUACGGAGGAUGCGAGCGUUAUCCGGAUUUAUUGGGUUUAAAGGGUGCGUAGGCGGGACCUUAAGUCAGCGGUAAAAUUGCGGUGCUCAACGCCGUAGAGCCGUUGAAACUGG